GGGGCAUGUGGACAAUAGGACACCUGCGGUUAAUGCAGGGCAUUGCACUCUCAUUUGUGGGGGUGAACAAUGUCAUGUUUACAUCUUGUGUUCCCCUAUGAGGAGCAUUUGAUUGGACUACGCCAGAGGAGGCUAUGAAAUUGUGGGAGGAAGAGAGGUAAUCGUUGCCAGAGGAGCAAAAACCCGACCUGACCUAUAGAACUAGGUUCAGGAACACUAACAAUUUAGG